rnacentral:rRNA from 1 species
AGAAUUCCCCCCGUAGCGGUGAAAAGCGUAGAUAUCGGGAGGAACACCAGUGGCGAAGGCGGCUCUCUGGACUGUACCUGACGCUGAGGCGCGAAAGCGUGGGGAGCAAACAGGAUGAGAUAGCCCCUGUAGUAGUCCACGUCAGUAAACGAGUACUAGGUGUUGGAGGUAUCGAACCCUUCAGUGCCGCAGUUAACACAAUAAGUACCCCGCCU